rnacentral:rRNA from 1 species
AGCAUCACGUAGUUUGAUCAGUGGCUCGAGGAUGAACGCUGGCGGUAUGCCUAACACAUGCAAGUCGUACGAGAGUUUUUAACUCUAGUGGCGGACGGGUGAGUAACACGUGAGAAUUUGCCUUUAGGAGGGGGAUAACAAUUGGAAACGAAUGCUAAUACCCCAUAUGCUUUUGAGUGAAACGGAUUUAUCCGCCUAGAGAGAAGCUCGCGGCUGAUUAGCUUGUUGGUAAGGUAAGAGCUUACCAAGGCGACGAUCAGUAUCUGGUUUGAGAGGACGAUCAGACACACUGGAACUGAGACACGGUCCAGACUCCUACGGGAGGCAGCAGUGGGGAAUUUUCCGCAAUGGGCGAAAGCCUGACGGAGCAAUACCGCGUGAGGGAAGAAUGCCUAUGGGUUGUAAACCUCUUUUUUCAGGGAGGAAUAAAAUGACGUGUACCUGAAGAAUAAGCAUCGGCUAACUCCGUG